GGGGAGAGGGAGAGAGAGGGAGAGGGAGAGGGAAGAGAGAGAAAGGAGGAAUAGGGAUAGGGAAAGCAGUGGACGUAGUAGGGAGGCAGAUAGGGAUAGAAAUAGUGAUAGGUACAGCAGGCAUCAGGAUGACAGUGUUGCUUAUAAUAGACGUAAUAGACAUUACGAGACUGACAUUGAGAGAGGAAGGACAAGUAAUCACUUAAAAACUGAGACCACAAAGCAACAUGCUGUAGAGACAGAGAGUGAGAGAUCGAGA
rnacentral:misc_RNA from 1 species